rnacentral:rRNA from 1 species
UACGUAGGGUGCGAGCGUUGUCCGGAAUUAUUGGGCGUAAAGAGCUUGUAGGCGGUUUGUCGCGUCUGCUGUGAAAAUCCGAGGCUCAACCUCGGACUUGCAGUGGGUACGGGCAGACUAGAGUGUGGUAGGGGAGACUGGAAUUCCUGGUGUAGCGGUGGAAUGCGCAGAUAUCAGGAGGAACACCGAUGGCGAAGGCAGGUCUCUGGGCCAGCUACUGGACGC